AUUGAACGCUGGCGGCAUGCUUUACACAUGCAAGUCGAACGGUAACAGGCCGCAAGGUGCUGACGAGUGGCGAACGGGUGCGUAAUGCAUCGGAACGUGCCCAGUCGUGGGGGAUAACUACUCGAAAGAGUAGCUAAUACCGCAUACGAUCUAUGGCUGACAGCGGGGGACCGUAAGGCCUCGCGCGAUUGUAGCGGCCGAUGUCAGAUUAGGUAGUUGGUGGGGUAAAGGCGCACCAAGCCCACGAUACGUAGCUGGUCUGAGAGGAUGACCAGCCACACUGGGACUGAGAAACGGGCCAGACUCCUACGGGAGGCAGCAGUGGGGAAUUUUGGACAAUGGGCGGAAGCCUGAUCCAGCCAUGCCGCGUGGAAGAAGAAGGCCUUCGGGUUGUAAAGCUCUUUUGUUCGGAAAGAAAAGGGGCUGGUUAAUACCCGGGGCUAAUGACGGUACCGUAAGAAUAAGCACCGGCUAACUACGUG
rnacentral:rRNA from 1 species